rnacentral:tRNA from 1 species
AGUUAAAUAUUUUAAUGAAAAUAUUAUGUUUUGAAAACAUAAAUUAAGAGGUUAAAAUCCUCUAUUAACUU